rnacentral:rRNA from 1 species
CGAAUAGUCCGUAGAGGCGAAGCUUCGGCGGAGCCGAGACAGGGAACCCGCUUCCAAGAAAAGCGAGCGCGGCAUCCCGUACCGUAAACCGACACAGGUAGUCGGGAAGAAUAUUCCAAGGCGCUCGGGUGAGCCGUGGAGAAGGAACUAGGCAAAUUGACGCUGUAACUUCGGGAUAAGGCGUUCCCGCUUCUGGCGGGACACAGUAAAUUGGCGCAACCAACUGUUUAACAAAAACACAGGGCCCUGCAAAAUCGCAAGAUGACGUAUAGAGCCUGAUACCUGCCCGGUGCCGGAAGGUUAAGGAAGGAUGUUCGCAGCGAUGCAAAGCUUCUGACUGAAGCCCCGGUAAACGGCAGCCGUAACAAUAACGGUCCUAAGGUAGCGAAAUUCCUUGUCGGGUAAGUUCCGACCUGCACGAAUGGUCUAAUGAGUUGCGCACUGUCUCCUCCACGAGCCCGGUGAAAUUGUAGUAUCGGUGAAGAUGCCGGUUACCCGUCACGGGACGGAAAGACCCCAUGAACCUUCACUAUAGCUUUGCAUUGAUUUUGAGCAACCGGUGUGUAGGAUAGUUGGGAGGCUUUGAAGUGGUGUCGCCUGGCAUCAUGGAGCCGACGUUGAAAUACCAACCUCCUGUUGCUUAGAACCUAACCCCUUGCGGGGGACAUUGCAUGGUGGGUAGUUUGACUGGGGUGGUCGCCUCCUAAAAAGUAACGGAGGCUUGCAAAGGUUCCCUCAGUACGGUUGGUAAUCGUACGCAGAGCGUAUUAGUAUAAGGGAGCUUGACUGUGAGGCAUACAGGCCGAACAGGGGCGAAAGCCGGCUAAAGUGAUCCGGCGGUUCUGCAUGGAAUGGCCGUCGCUCAAAGGAUAAAAGGUACUCUGGGAUAACAGGCUGAUCUCCCCCAAGAGCUCAUAUCGACGGGGAGGUUUGGCACCUCGAUGUCGGUUCGUCACAUCCUGGGGCUGGAGAAGGUCCCAAGGGUUCGGCUGUUCGCCGAUUAAAGUGGCACGUGAACUGGGUUCAGAACGUCGCAAGACAGUUCGGUCCCUAUCUGUGAUGGGCGUUAGUAAAUUGCGUGGACGUGACCUUAGUACGAGAGGACCGGGUCGCAUGUACCGCUGGUGUGCCAGUUGUGGUGCCAACCGCAGUGCUGGGUAGCUACGUACAGCCGAGAUAAACGCUGAAAGCAUCUAAGCGUGAAACUCUCCACCAGAUGAGUUUACUUUUAAGGGCCGCAGGAGACCACUGCGUCGAUAGGCUGCAGGUGUAAAGGUGGUGACAUCAAAGCCGAGCAGUACUAAUUGCCCGUAAGCUUUAACAA